rnacentral:lncRNA from 1 species
GACGCGUGGCGGGUGGUAGGUGAGGUCCGCCGGAGCCGUUUACGGGCGCAGCACACCGCGAGCCGAGAAUCCGAGGAGGAUGAUUUAUGCAGCCUGGAUGUUUCGGUCGCCCAGAACAUGGUUCCGGGCGCCCAGAAAUCCCCAUUUCAACAGGGACACCGGAUUGCAGCUAUUUCUCUUGGGGCUUAUUUUAUCCCUCCAGCACCCUAUAAAUACCUGGUAUACGUCCCCUUUGAGCUCUUUUAACCUGUUCUUCACAGAGAACUUAGAUUUUGCUCCUUAAUCCCUCCAAUCUUUCCAAAUUGCAUCAAGAUCCACAUCUCCAAGAGUUGCAAAGUGCUGAUUCUGUAGUUUUCCCAGCCACGACCUUCAGUGUUUUGGCUCAUGCGCGACGUAGGGAUAUCGGAUUUCGACGAAACUUGGUUUGCUAGAUUCCAGACUUUCAGAGGAAUCCACGAAGCCCUGACUUGCAGAAUUUGGUGAAGGUUAGCUCAGUCGAACUCAGGUUUUCCUCUGCUGCUGUUGAUAUGGACAGAAUUGCAAGUUUUUGAGUUUUCUUGGGGUGAACUUUGGAAGCAGGGGCUUUGUGGAGUUGAGUCACAUCCCCUACCAACUAGUACUGGAAUUGGGACCAUCUUCACCUAAUUUGGAGAUUGUUAGGUGAGUUUUGACAUUGGAAUUGGAUAAAUCGUAAGCUUAAGUACUGAAAUUGACGAAUUGUAAUGGAUUUUGGGUGAAUUGUAAUGUCCAGGUUUUGAGGGGAUUGUUGCUGGUUUGGAGGUGUUUCCAGCUAUGCUACUUGUGAUCCGAGACCGUGUUGCUGCCAGAGGAAUCGCGCUUGAGGUGGGUUUGCAUCAGAUUACUCCUAAGUAAUGAGUAGAUGUUUAGUCGACAUGUAUGUUUUGUUGUUCGGUUUACAAUGUGAUUAGAUUAAAUUCAGUGAUAAGCUGUGGCUGUAACCUAAAUUUAAGCAUACUAAAUAAGUGACAUUUACACAUGUCGGACUUGAAAAAUUGACUUAGGAGAAAACCUGCGUUUUGACCCGUCAUAUGCUUAAACUACCAGAUUUAGCUCUAGGAGCCGUGGGUUGACUGUAUCGUUGCAAUAUCAAUGCGAUGGAUACCUGGGGUAGUUUAGAAGGCAUUUACGCUCGUGCUGGGGUGCCGAGCUUAUUUUUCAGCAGAGUCUAGGCUGUUUCGGAUCGUUGGGUGCCGUCCGGGUUGGCGGACCCAGAUUCUUGUUUUGGUUCCAGAUUGUGCCGAGGGCACGUGGGUUUGGUUUGUAGACCUGUUUUGACCCUGUUUACAUGACUUUGGCUAGUUGGAGUCUGAUUGAGCUCGACAGAGAUACGCUGCAUACUCGAUUGGGUAGCUCCCACGAGUGCCACUCCGGAGACGGGCGCUGUGCUUUCGCGUUGAUAUCGCUCAUACCGGUUGGACUUGCUCUCCACGGACUAGUAGUGUGGAGGUAGCUGGACAGUCACAACUGGGCAGGGACGGGGGUGUUCAUAGUCCCAGGGACGGGUAUGCUUACAGUUCCUAUUGGAUUGAGUCAGAUUUGACAUUUCCUACAGUUGGUUAGUGUAGAGCAUGAUAGUAUAGUGAUCCAUAGCGGUAGAUUUCAUUUCUGCAUUUACUACUAUCUUUGCUCCCUUCUGUAGACUUAGUGGGUGGACCGAUGUUGUUGAGGGCGGCACCCACUGAGGACUACCUGUUUUUACAGUAGUUCUCACGCCCUGUUAUUACAGUAGUUCUCACGCCAGUGCGAGUAGCUCUGUAUUUUCGGUAUUGAACUAUGUAUAUGGAACUCCGUUUGUUUAGCUUCUGUUUACUCUAGCAGCUCUAUACUACUGUUUGUAGUAUUGUAUGGUUUACAGGUACUGCUAUCGCUUCGUAUACAGGGGAAAUUCCUUUGUAUACGGCGGAUUUGUCGGCGUGCCCGGGGACGUGUAAUCCGGAGCGUGACAGAUUAAAUUAGUAUCAGAGCUUAGCACUAGGUCGUUGGGACCUAGAAAAUCUAAGUUUGGCAAACCUUAGGAAGGUAAGAUGCGAGAGGCGUAAUUUAUUGCGAAAGUCAAUGAUUAAUUGUUCUAACUCCUUUCAGAGUGGGGUGAGUGAUUGAAGGAGUUCCUGUUUUGCCCUGAGCAAUUAUGUUGGCUGCAGACAACAUAAUUUUGGAGGAAAACAGGGACCGCCUUCCAGACUUUCGUUGAUUGGGUCGAGAGUGUUUAUGUUUCAUCUGACCCCGAUCUGUUCUUUUCAGCUAUGUAUCGUCGCCGAGGUCGACCGUCGUUACGGGAGCGUGCCCAGUUGUCGCAGGAUCGUGCGGGACCUUCCGAGAUGCUCGAGCAUGCGGAGCCGAGUACCCAGCGGGAGCAGAGUGUUCGACCAGAGACGAGUACAUCUCCGGACUUGAGUGCACAGUUAGCCGCCCUGACAGAGGUGACGAGGCGGCAGGAGGAGUUGUUAGAAAGGAUGGGCGAGAGGCUAGCUUCACUCUAGAGUUCAGCACCGAGGGCACCAGAGUCGUCUGUUCCACCUCCUAUUACUCCAGUGACAGCACCAGUUGCAGCAGUACCUCCGCCAGCAGCCGUUCUAGUAGCGCCAGUUGCGCCUGCUGGGGGGCCAGUACAGUUGACAGAGGCAGAGCAGGAGCGGUGGACGGAGAGGUUGGCUCGUUUUCGCCGUUUGAUCCACCGAUUUUCGAUGGCAGUUGCACUGAGGCCUGGGUUGUUGAGGGAUGGGUCAGUGCGAUGGAGAAGUUAUUUGAGGAUCUGUUCAUUCCUGAGGGGGAGCAGGUGUCUUUGGGAGUCCAUUGCUUGGCAGGUGAUGCCCACGCUUGGUGGAGGAGAGUGAGGAGAGAGCAGGGACUAGUAGUGUUGCAGCUGAGAUGGGAUGAGUUCUGUGGAAUGCUGUUUGGGAUAUUCUUUCCCAACAGUGUGAAACAGAAGCUCGAGGAGGAUUUGAAGAGGAUCCAGCAGGGGGAUCGUCCAGUGCAGGAGUACAUUCGGGAGUUUACUCGACUCCUGAAUGUGUGCCAUUUGUGGCCAGGGACGAGGCACACAGGGUUUAUCUGUUUGAGCAGGGGCUGAGACCCGACAUCUUCAGGUUGGCGCGGACGCAGAGGUCGAGGACUCUGGAUGCGUCCAUAGAGCAGGCCUUAUAGGUGGAGAGAGGUGAGGUGUCGCUACAGGAGAGGACUCAGGCCGUGGGGCAGAGUCAGGAUAGGAAGCGCCCCUUUUCAGAUGAUGCUGGACAGUCGAGCAGCAGGCGUCCGCCGAGGCCUCCACGAUCACGCUCUCAGGGUCGUGGGUUUUCGGGGCGUCAUCGUUCCAGGGGAUCCCGUCCGCAGGGGCAGACUCAGAGGACACCGCAGUGUGUGAUCUGCGGGGGACUACACUGGCCCUGGUAGUGAGAGCAGAGAGAAGGCCGUUGCUAUUCUUGCGGUCAGCCCGGGCAUAUGAGGUCAGUUUGCCCCCGUGCAGCAUCACCAGCGUAAUCCACUGCAUCAGCGCAGCCGGCAUCUCAGCCGUCCUUUGGAGCAGCACCGGGUUUCCGCCAGGAAGAUAGAUCGUCUAUACCGCGUUAGGGGGAGCGACGACAGCAAGCUCCGAGUGGCAGGGUUUAUGCAGCUCAGGUAGUGGAUUCUUCAGCAGCCGACCGUGUGGUGGCAGGUAUCAUUUUGAUUUUAGGCAUUCGUACUCACACUCUUUUUGAUACCGGUGCCACGCAUUCUUUUGUUAGUCGAGCAUUUGCAUUGUUGCAUGGUCUAGAGUUAGGAGUAUUGUCACAGGCACGAAAGGUGCAGAUCCCGGACCAUGUUUUACAGGUUGCAAAGUGUUGUUGGUCGUGUCCGGUGCAGUUAGACUCGUGGAUCAUGCCCGCAGACCUGUUGGUGUUAUGGCAGCUGCAGGACUUCGACGUCAUGCUCGGUAUGGAUUGGCUGGCGCGGUACUAUGCUACUAUCGAUUUCCUCCGGAGUUGACGAUGAUGCCGCCGGAGAGGGAGAUAAAGUUUGUGAUUGAUGUGGUUCCUGGAACUGCACCAAUCUCAAAGGCACCUUAGAGGAUGGCACCGGCGGAGCUGAGAGAGCUAAAGGCGCAGCUUCAGGAUUUGAUGGAUAAGGGGUUUGUGAGACCCAGUGUGUCGCCUUGGGGAGCGCCGGUGUUGUUUGUAAAGAAGAAGGAUGGUUCGCUCAGAUUGUGUGUGGAUUACCGGGAGCUAAAUAAGGUGACCAUCAAGAAUAAGUAUCCUUUGCCGUGCAUUGAUGAUCUGUUUAAUCAGCUGCAAGGAUCUUAUGUCUUCUCGAAGAUUGACUUCCAGUCAGGUUACCACCAGUUAAGGGUGAGGGCCGAGGAUGUUUCCAAGACGGCUUUUCGGACUCGGUACGGGCAUUAUGAGUUUACGGUGAUGCCAUUUGGAUUGACGAAUGCCCCUGCCACAUUCAUGGAUUUGAUGAACAGAGUGUUCAAGCUGUUCUUGGACAGGUUUGUGGUAGUCUUCAUUGAUGAUAUCUGAUAUACUCCCGGAGUGAUGCCGAGCAUGAGGAGCACUUGAGGACUGUGCUAUAGCUUCUGAGAGAGAAUAAGUUGUAUGCCAAGUUAAAGAAGUGCGAGUUCUGGUUACGGGAGGUUGCUUUCUUGGGCCACGUGAUAUCAGCAGAGGGAGUAGCAGUUGACCCGAAGAAGAUUGAUGCUAUUCGGGAUUGGCCCAGACCGACGACGGUUACAGAGGUAAGGAGUUUCCUUGGGCUUGCUGGUUAUUACCGUCGGUUUGUGGAAGGCUUUGCGAAGCUUUCCACACCCCUCACUCGUUUAACGCAAAAUGAGAUUAGAUUCAUCUGGAGUGAGGAUUGCCAGAGGAGCUUUGAUGAGUUGAGACAGAGGUUGACGUCAGCUCUUAUCCUUACCCUUCCUAUGAUGGGGGAAGGAUUUGUGAUCUACAGUGAUGCAUCGCACAGUGGACUGGGUUGUGUGCUGAUGCAGCAUGGUAGGGUAAUUGCUUAUACUUCACGGCAGUUAAAGAAUUAUGAGAAGAAUUACCCUACACAUGACUUGGAGCUUGCCGCGGUAGUCUUUGCUUUAAAGUUGUGGCGGCAUUACUUGUACGGUGAGCACUGCGAGGUUUUUACUGAUCAUAAAAGUCUCAAGUAUCUGUUCACCCAAAAGGAGUUGAAUCUGAGGCAACGCCGGUGGUUGGAGUUGCUGAAGGACUAUGAUAUUAGUAUUCAGUAUCAUCCCGGCAAGGCAAAUGUAGUGGCAGAUGCGUUGAGCAGGAAGGUAGUGUAGAGCUGGAGCAUGUUGAUCACUCGGCAGAGACCGUUACUCGAGGAGCUGCGGCGGCUGAGGCUCGAGGUAGUGUCCCCAGAAUUUACUCCGAGACUGAUGUCUAUGAUCUUGCAGCCCACUCUGUUGUAUAGGAUUCGAGAGAAACAGAGUGGAGACCCGCACUUGUCGAGGAUUCGAGAGCAGCUUGAGAGGGGACAGGCCGAGGGCUUUGUUGUGGAUAGUUCGGGAGUACUGCGGUACAGGGACCGACUGUGUGUACCUAUGGAUUAGGAGAUCCGAGAGGACAUUUUGAGAGAGGCUCACUGUUCACCUUAUACGGUUCACCCCGGUGGAACCAAGAUGUAUAAGGAUUUAAAGGCUCAGUUUUGGUGGAAUGGAAUGAAGAGGGACAUUGGUAGAUUUGUGGCUCAGUGUCUGACUUGUCAAUAGGUAAAGGCCGAGCAUCAGGUACCUGCUGGCAAGCUUCAGAGUCUGGCAGUACCCGAGUGGAAAUGGGAGCAGAUUACGAUGGACUUUGUCGUCGGAUUGCCGAGAGCACAGGGUGGUUUUGAUGUGAUUUGGGUGAUAGUGGACAGACUGACCAAGUCUGCUCACUUCUUACCAGUGCAGACCACUUGGUCCAGAGAGAGACUCGCUCAGUUGUACUUGGAUGAGAUAGUGAGGUUGCAUGGCGUGCCCACUUUGAUAGUAUCCGACCGAAACCCGAGAUUCGUCUCGCACUUUUGGAGGUGUCUUCAGACGGCCUUGGGCACUCUGUUGCAGUUCAGCACAGCGCUUCACCCACAGACAGAUGGUCAGUCAGAGCGGACCAUUCAGACUCUAGAGGACAUGCUGAGGGCCUGUGUCCUAGACUUUGGAAGAGGGUGGUAUCGGCAUUUGAGACUGGUUGAGUUUGCGUACAACAACAGCUAUCAAGCGAGCAUCCAGAUGGCUCCGUUUAAGGUGUUGUAUGAAAGCAGAUGUCAAUCCCCUUUGUUUUGGAGUGAUGUGGGUGAGAGGAGGACGCUUGGGCCUGAGAUUCUGAUUGACGCUGAGGAAAAGGUAAAGAAGGCGCGACGGCACAUGUUAGCAGCCCAGAGUCGACAGAGGAGCUAUGCUGAUACUCGGAGACGAGACUUGGAGUUCCAGGUGGGAGAUUGUUUUUCUUAAAGUCUCGCCGUCCAGAGGGAUUCGCCGAUUUGGAGUACGUGAAAAGCUCAGUCCACGUUUUGUAGGCCCUUUCGAAGUAUUGGAGCAAGUCGGGCCAGUGGCUUACAGGAUUGCUCUACUACCAAGACUAGCCGGCAUUCACGAUGUCUUCCACGUCUCGGCUUUGAGGAAAUAUGUGUUCGACCCCUCCCACGUGAUUGACUUCACUCCGCUUGAGAUUGGCAUGGACCUGAGUUACGAGGAACGACCGGUGUGGAUUCUGGCUCGUGAGUCGAGGAAAUUGCGCAACCGGGUCAUACCCUUUGUAAAGGUGCAAUGGAAUAAUCACGAGGAGCGGGAGGCGACUUGGGAGCCGGAGACGGAGAUGAAGGAGUCCUACCCCUACCUAUUUGAAACUCGGGAUUGAGGUAUGUAUUCAGUUUCGCGGAUGAAACUUUUUGUAGUGGGGGAGGAUGUAGUGUUCCUGAGCUUUGGAUAGGAUUGGCUUCAGUAUUAGUGACUGGUCGAUAUCUCUGGAGAGUGUCGGACUGAGUCGAAGUCAAUUCUGUGCGAAUUGGAUGCAGAAUUGGACUCGGUGCACUCAAAUAAGCAAAACUAAAGUUUUGCGAGAUCCGGGCGCCCAGAACAUGGUUUAGGUCGCCCAGAACUGAGUGUUAAAAUUUAACUGAAACUGGAGCCAAUUCGGAUCCUAUGUUCCGGGCGCCCAGAAGUGGGUCCGAAAAUUCUACAUCGUGAAUAUCGUUUGCUUCGACGCGUGGCAGGGUGGUAGGUGAGGUCCGCCGAAGCCGUUUACGGGCGCAGCACACCGCGAGCCGAGAAUCCGAGGAGGAUGAUUUGUGCAGCCUGGAUGUUUCAGUCGCCCAGAACAUGGUUCCGGGCGCCCAGAACAUGGUUCCGGGCGCCCAGAAAUGCCCAUUUCAGCAGGGACACCGGAUUGCAGCUGUUUCUCUUGGGGCUUAUUUUAUCCCUCCAGCACCCUAUAAAUACCUGGUAUACGUCCCCUUUGAGAUCUUUUUACCUGUUCUUCACAGAGAACUUAGAUUUUGCUCCUUAAUCCCUCCAAUCUUUCCAAAUUGCAUCAAGAUCCACAUCUCCAAGAGUUGCGAGGUACUGAUUCUGUAGUUUUCCCAGCGACGACCUUCAGUGUUUUGGCUUGUGCGCGACGUAGGGAUAUCGGAUUUUGACGAAACUUGGUUUGCUAGAUUCUAGACUUUCAGAGGAAUCCACGAAGCCCUGACUUGCAGAAUUUAGUGAAGGUUAGCUCAGUCGAACUCAGGUUUUCCUCUGCUGCUGUUGAUAUGGACAGAAUUGCAUGUUUUUGAGUUUUCUUGGGGUGAACUUUGGAAGCCGGGGCUUUGUGGAGUUGAGUCACAUCCCC